GAUGAACGCUGGCGGCGUGCCUAAUACAUGCAAGUCGAGCGAACGGACGAGAAGCUUGCUUCUCUGAUGUUAGCGGCGGACGGGUGAGUAACACGUGGAUAACCUACCUAUAAGACUGGGAUAACUUCGGGAAACCGGAGCUAAUACCGGAUAAUAUUUUGAACCGCAUGGUUCAAAAGUGAAAGACGGUCUUGCUUUCACUAAUAGAUGGAUCCGCGCUGCAUUAGCUAGUUGGUAAGGUAACGGCUUACCAAGGCAACGAUGCAUAGCCGACCUGAGAGGGUGAUCGGCCACACUGGAACUGAGACACGGUCCAGACUCCUACGGGAGGCAGCAGUAGGGAAUCUUCCGCAAUGGGCGAAGGCCUGACGGAGCAACGCCGCGUGAGUGAUGAAGGUCUUCGGAUCGUAAAACUCUGUUAUUAGGGAAGAACAUAUGUGUAAGUAACUGUGCACAUCUUGACGGUACCUAAUCAGAAAGCCACGGCUAACUACGUG
rnacentral:rRNA from 1 species